UCUUCACAACCCACAUUACUUCCCCCAUCACCUCCCAGAAGCCUCAUUUUUCCUUACCUUACAUCAAUCAUCAGAAACACAACUGACUCCCACCACUGUACUUUUGCUAUCUAGCCCCUUAGUGACUGAUUACCUCUAAAGACUCAGAACAAGAAAUGUCCCUUCAGAGGGUCUAUAGUGCUAAGCUAGUUCUUUCUGCCACAUCUGCAUUUGUUAAACAAGUCUGUUGAUCUUUGCUUCUUUUUAACUUGCUGAACACGUACUUCUCUAAAGUGGCAUCUGUUCUAUCCAAUAUAAGGAUUAUAAAUCAUGAUACUUUUUUGGCUUGUUUUAAACAAGCAAUAUUAGUUAACCCUUUGGCAUGUUUUUCAUUAUAAAUUGAGUAUCUUAGAUGAUCAAGUACAAACCUAGCCAAGAUUUCAGUGUCAAGAGGAAGAGUUUCACAUCUGCUUAAAUAAAAUAGCCUAAUACUGCUUUACAUGUCUGACUGCUUCAUAACCCUCUCCUGUGUUACAUUCCAGGUGCCAAAGUCUACUUACCUGUAUUGGAAUUACCCCCUCUGAAACCUACUUCCUUUAUGGCAAACAAAACAUCUUUGGCUGAUGUAAAGUUUUUCAAAUAAAAUUCUAUUUUGGGAUGUUCACUAAGUGGAAAAAUAGGAAAAAAAUGUUAUCUAGAGAGAACUGGAAAGGCAAAACAAGCAACAUUAUAUAACUUAAAAAAAA
rnacentral:lncRNA from 1 species